UUGUUUAUGCUUUGCUAAUCUCUGUUUCAG
rnacentral:piRNA from 1 species